rnacentral:misc_RNA from 1 species
GCGAAACAGGACCGUAGAGAAUUCCAAUUUAUCCUGCGUCAAACAGUAAUUAGUGACAGAUGCGUCACUCGUUAACAGACAGUACAGCCCUCUUGUGGGACGUAUCAUGAAAACAAAACUUUAAGUGAUUACGACAGGUAACUACGACAAGUUAUAAAUUAUUAAAGAGCAAGGGAAAAAAAUCACUAUCUUCCAAAAAGAAAGGAUAAUAAAGAAAGAAGAAAAGAUAGUGGGGGGCAGAGAAAGGGUGGGGAGAGCUAGAGGUGGUGAAAGAUGAAAACAAAGAACAAGUAACUUUUCUCUAAAGAAAAAAAGAAAAAGGAAAAAUUAGGUUAAACCUUUAUUCAUACUUUUUAAGUCAUAGCUUUUCUUUUGCUAUAUAUUUAUUCAACCAUUAGUGAAUAUUACUCAAAGUUAUAACUAGCAAAAUAAAUAUAUAUUUCCCUCUCUAUCUCUGAGGAUCUCUUAAGCUUUGAUAGUGAAUAAAUAAAACACGGGGGGAUUUUGAAUAAUCUAAAUAUAAAUGAUUGAUUAAACAAGCACCAACCAGCUAAGAGAACAAAAACAUUUCACUGACAGAGAUAUCAAAGUUUAUAAUAAAAAAAAAAUUUAAUUAUUGAAAACAUAAACUUAAACUCGAUGUUAUUAAUUAUACCUUAGAGAUAUAAGUUUUUAAUAUGAAAAGGCUACUAGGUUGAAUAAAUAAUCAUUUUUUAUAUUAAAGACUGGCUAAUAGCUUGUUUUAGCAACUAUGUUUGUAUAAAUGCGAAAAGAUAUAGUCAGUCUUCUUCCACUUUCAAAAAAUGAUUGACUAAACAGUCGGCAGACGAGACGAGCUUGAAUAUUUUAAUCACAAGUUUAAAAACUUUUUAUUAUUAAUCGUUCAAUUUAAAUUUAUAAAUUAAAUAACUAUCAUCGCUCUUGAAGCAUCGUAAGUAAAUAUUUAUUAUCAGCACUCGAAUGGAAUACAUAGACAAUUCUUUAUAUUUUUCAAACAUUUCAUUUAGUAUCUUAUCAUGUCGUCCGAAAUUCAUUUGAUGAAAAAGAAGAAGGGGAGGAGGAGGAGCAUUUCGUUAAAUAUGUUUAAUAAGACCGGAUAUUCAAUUGAUUCCAACAGGAAGAUAUUGUCCUUCGAAAAGGGAAAAGAAUCCAAAUUUCUAAGGGAACAAAGAUUAAAAAAAGUACAAGAUAAAAGGACGCCUAUUCAAAAAACCAAUGAGAAGAUUACAGACAGGAGAUUGAAGCCAAAAUUAAGGUGGAUUAGAGCUGGUAGAAUUGUCAGAAUGCUCGUUGGAGUAUGUAUCGCUAUACGAAAAUAUGCGUUUGAAGCUGGAUUAUUAGACAAUUAUUUGGUAAACGUUAGCCACAGGCAUAAGUUAACUUCCGCAUCCAAUGGAGUUGCAGACGAAGAACUUAAAUUUAAUGAGGCUGAUUAUAAAAUAAAAAAAGAGUUUACUGUUCCAGAAGAUCUUAAACCAUUGUUCGAAAGAAAACCUGAGAAAAGAAGCCCUGAGGAUAUUGAAGCUAUUCGAAAUGUUCUUAUAAGAAUGAGCAGCUUUAGAAAAUACACUACAGAAAUGCAAAAGCUAUUUUGUAAAAUUGUUAGAUACGAAAGAUGUCAAAAGAGAAGAGUUGUCUUAAGAAAAGGCCAUAUUGGCUAUAAUUUAUAUUUUAUAUUUUCUGGUGCUGUUAAUAUAGUCAUCGAUAAGGAUGACGCUAGUGCGUUCGUAAGGAAAGAAACGGUUACACUAAAAUCAGGGGCAUGUUUUGGUGAGAUUGCAUUGGUAAAAGAUACUAGAAGAAACGCUACAUGCGUCUGCGCUAAAGAUACUGAAUUUAUUGUUGUUGAUAAAGAUGAUUUUAAAGAAGCAGGUUUACAUAUAAGACUACAAGAGGAAACUGAACAAAGAUUUGAUUUUUUUAGGAAAUGGAGCGCCUUAGGAGCUUUAACCGACGAUAAAAUAUGGCAAAUGAGUUAUGUCAGUAGGGUUGAAGAAUUUAAUCAUAAUAAAGUUUUAGUUGCAGACUCCAGACAAAAUGAAUGGCUUUGGUUUAUAACAAAGGGAUCUUGCGAUUUAUUGCAUAUUGUAAGUUUAGACAAAUGUGGAAAAUUUAAAAAUGUGGUACGUAAAUAUCAAGCCACCGAUUGGAAAUCUCCAACACCUGAUGGAGUAAGAAAUUCAAAGUUUCUCAAUCAAGUAUCAGGAGCUGUUGCUAUGGGUUCACAGCUACGAGAACGAUAUGAAAAUUCAAAAACACAAUUGGAUAAAAGGAAAAAGAAUUCGCAAAGAAUACAAGACAAUGCCGGACCAAAGAGGAAAAAUGGCACUUAUCAAGCUACAUUACUAUCUAAUGCUGGUACAAGUCAACUACAAUUGCUAGAUAUGGAUAGAGGACUAUUUUUUAAAAUUGACACAUUAAGAGACGGAGAAUGCUUUGGAAUUGAUCAAUUAUUCCCAGAAACAAAUAGGACAUUAUCGUUAAUUAGCAAGGGGUGCGAAGUUAUACAUAUUAUGAAGUCGACUUUUGUUGAAAUGAUUCAAGGACAUGCCGACAUUUUAGAAGAGAGAAUUAAACCCACGUUAAAAGAGUAUCCAAGCGAUGAAGAAUUACUGGAUCAAUAUUUCAAGAAUACCGACUGGGAGUGUUAUAAAGAAGAACUUAUGGAAAAAACAGUCUACGAUAUUGAAACCAAACUACCUUACGAACUAGGCUUAAGAAGUCGAAUAAGAAAUAGGACUUCAGGAGCAAGUUCGGCAAUGAGUCAAGUGAAUUAUGAUGCCUUAGACGGUUCGCAAUGGAAAGAUGUUGUUGAAUUUGAUCAAACCCUAAAGCCAAAAAAUCUCUUCACCAAAACCGAAAAAUCUAAAAGUCCAGUUAUUCCCUACUCCUCACUGUUCUUCCAUUCUUCAAGAAUCUCUUCACAAUCUGCCAAGCCUAGAAAGAGAAGAAUUCAAUUGAAUAUUCAAAGGCCUAGUACUGCCAUGGGUUGUUUGCAAAAUACUCAAGAGGAAACCGAAAAGAAACACGUCAACUUUGCAAAUAUUAACGAAAAGGAUGACAAGAAUUAUAAAAAUCGUACUGUGCCGAAGGCUACAACUAUAACAGCUUCUAAAGCAGUUUAUAAACUCGGUUGAAAAGAACUGUAACUCUUUUUUUCUAUUGGUUUUUUUUAUUAUUUAUAUUUAUUAAAAAAAGAAGAAAAUCACUCAAAAUCAGUUAGAGAUGAGAAUGGUGUCCUUUAUAGUAGUUACACCAUAAAUCACUGGCAAUAUCUGCGGCGUAACUUUCACUUAGAUUUUCGGCAACAAUACGUAUAAAAAAAAGUCCGUCUCUUCUUAGAAAAUAUGUAGCAAACUGUUCAAAAGUCUUUGAAUCGCCUUUUUUGCAAAGAAGCGAAUCGAAGACGAGUAAUUCUUUAGCGAAUUUUAAAUUAGCUCUUCUCGGUAAAUAAAGAUAAAUACUUUGAAAUAAACUUGAAAUUGAGAAAGUUAAAACGAAAAUCAUCCACAUCCAAAGAAAGAGAAAGAUUUUUUGAUGGAAUAGAUUUACCGGCAAGGAACAUUGAACAACAUAUUUAUGAAUAUUACCUUGUACUCUUAUAUAAAAAUCGCAGUGAGUUUUUGUUGGAAAAGUUUUGGAGAGAUGCCAAUCUCCGCUUGCUAUCAUUUCCGAUAAAAAUUCAACACCGUAUGUGUAAAAAUUCAUGUCUAAAAAUAAACUCAACACUUUAAAACUUACUAAAAUAUCGCAUACGUAAACAAGCUUUAUAAAUAUAUGGAUCACAACUAAUUGAUUUCCUUUAAGGUGUCUUUUAAUAAAACCAUUCUUUCGUUCAAGAUCAUUUUUCGACAGCAUUAGAUAUAGUUUUUUAACGAGAAAAUGUUGAAUUUUUUCCUUUCUUCUCUUAUCUCUUUCCUCGAACAUCUCUCUCGCUUCGUCCAUUAAGAAAGGUAAACAAAUAUCAUUUUGUUGAUUUAGAUAAAUCCAUACAGGCUUAGGCAAGUAGAAUAGAACAGCUUGAAAGCAUAAAAUUAAAGUUACCCACUGAUAAUAGCCUAUUCUCUGUAAACUUUCAUUUUCAGGCAGUUUUGUAUAGUUUAAAUUAAUUGUAAAUGUGUUUCUGGUCCAACAGUGCUUAUUCGUGUAAGCAAUAUGAUUCUUAGUAAAAUGAGAUGGACACCAGCAUCGAAUUGAAUUACUUGCGUAAUUCUUUCCACUGAGAAUAAUAGCAAAACUUAAACAAAUAAAAGUAGAAUACUUAAAAUGUAGUUUAUCCGCAAAAGUGUUCACUGAACUGUAAGAAUCACCGUCAAUAAGCACUUUUAAUAGUUUAUCCAUAUUUUUAGAAGUUGUAUUACUUUUUUUUUAAAUUGCAUCAAAAAAAUCAAUUUUUCAAUAAAGAAACUUUUUAAUUCUUAUCUUGAAAACUUAUGAGAAGAAAGGAAG